rnacentral:rRNA from 1 species
CCGAGAUGGUACUAGACACGGACCAGCCCUAUGGGCGCAGCAGGCGAGAACCUUUGCAAUGUGCGAAAGCACGACAAGGUUGAUCCGAGUGUCUCCUGCUAAAGGAGUCUUUUGUCAGUUGUAGAAUCACUGGUGAAUAAGGGGUGGGCAAGUUCUGGUGUCAGCCGCCGCGGUAAAACCAGCACCUCGAGUGGUCAGGAGGUUUAUUGGGCCUAAAGCAUCCGUAGCCGGUUGCAUAAGUUUUCGGUUAAAUCUAUGCGCUUAACGUAUAGGCCGCCGAAAAUACUGUGCAGCUAGGGAGUGGGAGAGGUACACGGUACUCGAUAGGAAGGGGUAAAAUCCUUUGAUCUAUUGAAGACCACCUGUGGCGAAGGCGGUGUACCAGAACACGUUCGACGGUGAGGGAUGAAAGCUGGGGGAGCAAACCGGAUUAGAUACCCGGGUAGUCCCAGCUGUAAACGAUGCAGACUCGGUGAUGCAUUGGCUUGUGGCCAAUGCAGUGCCGCAGGGAAGCCGUUAAGUCUGCCGCCUGGGAAGUACGUACGCAAGUAUGAAACUAAAGGAAUUGGCGGGGGAGCACCACAAGGGAUGAAGCCUGCGUUCAAUUGGAGUCAACGUCA